rnacentral:rRNA from 1 species
UAGGGAAUCUUCGGCAAUGGGGGCAACCCUGACCGAGCAACGCCGCGUGAGUGAAGAAGGUUUUCGGAUCGUAAAGCUCUGUUGUAAGUCAAGAACGAGUGUGAGAGUGGAAAGUUCACACUGUGACGGUAGCUUACCAGAAAGGGACGGCUAACUACGUGCCAGCAGCCGCGGUAAUACGUAGGUCCCGAGCGUUGUCCGGAUUUAUUGGGCGUAAAGCGAGCGCAGGCGGUUUGAUAAGUCUGAAGUUAAAGGCUGUGGCUCAACCAUAGUUCGCUUUGGAAACUGUCAAACUUGAGUGCAGAAGGGGAGAGUGGAAUUCCAUGUGUAGCGGUGAAAUGCGUAGAUAUAUGGAGGAACACCGGUGGCGAAAGCGGCUCUCUGGUCUGUAACUGACGCUGAGGCUCGAAAGCGUGGGGAGCGAACAGGAUUAGAUACCCUGGUAGUCCACGCCGUAACGAUGAGUGCUAGGUGUUGGGUCCUUUCCGGGAUUCAGUGCCGCAGCUAACGCAUUAAGCACUCCGCCUGGGGAGUACGACCGCAAGGUU